rnacentral:rRNA from 1 species
UACAGAGGUCCCAAGCGUUGUUCGGAUUCACUGGGCGUAAAGGGUGCGUAAGCGGUCGGGUAAGUCUGAUGUGAAAUCUCACAGCUUAACUGUGAAACUGCGUUGGAUACUAUCCGGCUCGAGGAAUGGAGGGGAGACUGGAAUACUUGGUGUAGCAGUGAAAUGCGUAGAUAUCAAGUGGAACACCAGUGGCGAAGGCGAGUCUCUGGACAUUUCCUGACGCUGAGGCACGAAAGCCAGGGGAGCAAACGGG